CCUACGGGAGGCUGCAGUCGAGGAUCUUCGGCAAUGGGGGCAACCCCGACCGAGCGACGCCGCGUGGGCGACGAAGGCCUUCGGGUUGUAAAGCCCUGUCGAGGGGAGGAAAGGCCGUCUCACGACGGCGUGAUUUGCCCCUGGAGGAAGCUCGGGCUAAGUUCGUGCCAGCAGCCGCGGUAAGACGAACCGAGCGAACGUUGUUCGGAAUCACUGGGCUUAAAGGGCGCGUAGGCGGGCGGCCGCGCCCGGGGUGAAAUCCGCCGGCCCAACCG
rnacentral:rRNA from 1 species